GAUGAACGCUGGCGGCGUGCCUAAUACAUGCAAGUCGAGCGAACAGAUGAGAAGCUUGCUUCUCUGAUGUUAGCGGCGGACGGGUGAGUAACACGUGGGUAACCUACCUAUAAGACUGGGAUAACUCCGGGAAACCGGGGCUAAUACCGGAUAAGAUUUUGAAUCGCAUGGUUCGAUAGUGAAAGACGGUUUCGGCUGGCACGUAUAGGUGGACCCGCGCCGUAUUAGCUAGUUGGUAAGGUACCGGCUUACCAAGGCGACGAUACGUAGCAGAACUGAGAGGGUGAUCGGCCACACUGGAACUGAGACACGGUCCCGACUCCUACGGGAGGCAGCAGUAGGGAAUCUUCCGCAAUGGGCGAAAGCCUGACGGAGCAACGCCGCGUGAGUGAUGAAGGUCUUCGGAUCGUAAAACUCUGUUGUUAGGGAAGAACAAAUUUGUUAGUAACUGAACAAGUCUUGACGGUACCUAACCAGAAAGCCACGGCUAACUACGUGCCAGCAGCCGCAGUAA
rnacentral:rRNA from 1 species